CAACUCGCCUGCAUGAAGUCGGAAUUGCUAGUAAUCGCAGAUCAGCAUGCUGUGGUGAAUACGUUCCCGGGCCUUGUACACACCGCCCGUCACACCAUGGGAGUCGGUAACACCCAAAGUUGGUAGUCUAACCGCAAGGAGGACGCCGCCUAAGGUGGGAUUGAUGACUGGGGUGAAGUCGUAACAAGGUAGC
rnacentral:rRNA from 1 species